rnacentral:lncRNA from 1 species
AAAAACAAAAAGAAAGGUGCUAAGUAAUCUGCUGUUGGUCACUUGUCUUCCAGCCCUCAAUCAGAAGACAAGAAAUCAGUCAUUCAACAGUAAUGACUCCCAGAACUGAUGUUCCAAACUCCAGAAGGGUCUCACUAGUGACAAUUCCAAGAAACUAAAGUUCUCAGGCAUUUGAACUUGAAGUGAUCCAUAAUACCAACAUCCCAGGCUCUCCAGUUUGCAGAUGGGCUGUCAUGGGAGACUUAGCUGUGAUAACCAUGGUGAGAAGACUAAUGGAUCUUGUCUAAAGAGCUGAAGGAUCUUAGAACAUUUUCCAGUGGAUCCUGAGACCAGCAAUUGCACCUUGAAUUCUGGUUAUUUAAGUAGAGCAAAGG